rnacentral:rRNA from 1 species
GAUGAACGCUGGCGGCGUGCUUAACACAUGCAAGUCGAACGAUGAAAGCGGGAGCUUGCUCCUGCUGGAUUAGUGGCGAACGGGUGAGUAACACGUGAGCAAUCUGCCCCGAACUCUGGGAUAAGCGUUGGAAACGACGUCUAAUACCGGAUACGACGCGCGAAGGCAUCUUCUGCGCGUGGAAAGAAUUUCGGUUCGGGAUGAGCUCGCGGCCUAUCAGCUAGUUGGUGAGGUAACGGCUCACCAAGGCGACGGCGGGUAGCCGGCCUGAGAGGGUGACCGGCCACACUGGGACUGAGACACGGCCCAGACUCCUACGGGAGGCAGCAGUGGGGAAUAUUGCACAAUGGGCGAAAGCCUGAUGCAGCAACGCCGCGUGAGGGACGACGGCCUUCGGGUUGUAAACCUCUUUUAGCAGGGAAGAAGCGAAAGUGACGGUACCUGCAGAAAAAGCACCGGCUAACUACGUGCCAGCCGCCGCCGUAAAAC